UCCCCGCUUUACGGGGCAGUCUCGCCAGAGAAUACAACUGGCAACAGGGGUUGCGCUCGUUGCGGGACUUAACCCAACACCUCACGGCACGAGCUGACGACAGCCUUGCAGCACCUGUGUACGCUGCUCUUGCGAGCUCGUCAGGCUUUCACCCUUCUACUACGUACAUGUCAAGGCCAGGUAAGGUUCUUCGCGUUGCAUCGAAUUAAGCCACAUACUCCACCGCUUGUGCAGGCCCCCGUCAAUUUCUUUGAGUUUUAGCCUUGCGGCCGUACUCCCCAGGCGGAGUGCUUAACGCGUUGGCUGCGGCACCACGGGGGUCAAUACCCAUAGCACCUAGCACUCAUCGUUUACGGCGUGGACUAC
rnacentral:misc_RNA from 1 species